rnacentral:rRNA from 1 species
CCUACGGGAGGCAGCAGUGGGGAAUUUUGGACAAUGGGCGCAAGCCUGAUCCAGCAAUGCCGCGUGAGUGAAGAAGGCCUUCGGGUUGUAAAGCUCUUUUGUCAGGGAAGAAACGGUGGUUCCUAAUACGGACUACUAAUGACGGUACCUGAAGAAUAAGCACCGGCUAACUACGUGCCAGCAGCCGCGGUAAUACGUAGGGUGCAAGCGUUAAUCGGAAUUACUGGGCGUAAAGCGUGCGCAGGCGGUUAUAUAAGUCAGAUGUGAAAUCCCCGGGCUCAACCUGGGAACUGCAUUUGAGACUGUAUGGCUAGAGUGUGUCAGAGGGGGGUAGAAUUCCACGUGUAGCAGUGAAAUGCGUAGAUAUGUGGAGGAAUACCGAUGGCGAAGGCAGCCCCCUGGGAUAACACUGACGCUCAUGCACGAAAGCGUGGGGAGCAAACAGGAUUAGAUACCCUGGUAGUCCACGCCCUAAACGAUGUCUACUAGUUGUCGGGACUUAAUUGUCUUGGUAACGCAGCUAACGCGUGAAGUAGACCGCCUGGGGAGUACGGUCGCAAGAUUAAACGUCAAAUGAAUUGACGG